AGAGUCGAAAUAUAUCUGAUAUCUGAAUAUAUCUGGUGUUGGUGAAACCGCUUUUAAACUAAGACUAACUCUAGACUAAGACUAAGCUUAAAACUGAAAGAAACAAACAAAAAAAAAAGAAAAUAUUGAAUUGCACAAAUCGUUAUUCUCAAUUUUAAAUUUAUUGUACAUAUUCGUAAAUUCGACAUUUAAUAUUUUCUUUUUUAUAAAAAAAAAACCAUAAACAAAAAAAAGCACUUUGGAAAAAUACAACAAAUGGCAAAUAAAAUGAUGCAAAUUAUAGAAAUUAUAGAUCAAUAUCGUUAUACUACUAUAUACGAUAUAGCGUACAUCCAUGGGCAAGUAUUUCUGUCGUGUCAUCCCUCUCGCAAGACGUGUGUGUGUACAUUUGUUCAAAAUUGAAAACAACUUUUUGUGCAACAAAGGAAAAUGUGUUUUCCAGCACUGAUACUUCCAGCUUUCUACUGCUUGUUGUAGUAGUAGUAACUGAUGAUCAAUAGAACCGAACCACUCACAACUCGAUUAAUAGUCACUGAUUUACAACACUAGUCGUGGUUAUGCAACACUCUGUUCUCCUUCUACUGCUUGGAUAGUGGCGGCAAGUAGAAGGGUUCCUUCCACUCCACUGCUUGGUUAGUAGUCAUCAAUGGUCUUGCAACACUGUUUUCCCAACCAAUGAGAACGUUUUUCCAACACUAUUCUUACACAUUUCUACUGCCUGAUUAGUAGCCUCAAAUUAAAUGCAAAUCAAAAUUAAUUCAAAACAAAAGAUAUCUAAUUUCGGUAGAUAUUUUAUAUACCCCCCAAAAAACACAAACACAGACACACACACACAGAAAACCCAAAAUGCACGCGUCAAUCAGAAAUAUUACGAACAGGAGCUCAUACAGUUCAAAUUAAAUGUAGAAACUGUAAGUCGCGCCGAAAGAACCGAUGAAUCGAUGAGCGUAGAUAUUCUAGAGAUUCUUCUAGAUUUAAAUAAUCUUAACAGCAUUUUCAGUUUCACUUAUUCUUUUUUCCAAGCAGUGACUGCGUAGCCUCCUCUACCAGUAAUGUAAUCAAUUUCCCUUAAUGAUAAUUUAAUUUGUCUGAUUUAGGUUUUGUCUAAAAAACCCUAAAUAGUACUCGUACAAAAGCGUCAACAGUUUGUAAGCAUUUUAGUCGAAUAAAAACCGAGAGAUUUUUUAAGUGUUAA